UACAGAGGGUGCUAGCGUUGUUCGGAAUCAUUGGGCGUAAAGGGCGUGUAGGCGGUUUGUUAAGUCAUGUGUGAAAUCCCUCGGCUCAACCGGGGAACGACGCAUGAAACUGGCAAGCUAGAGUACCAAAGAGGGUGGUGGAAUUCCCGGUGUAGCGGUGAAAUGCGUAGAUAUCUGGAGGAACACCGGUGGCGAAGGCGGCAUCCUGGACCGGUAUUGACGCUGAGGCGCGAAAGCCAGGGGAGCAAACGGG
rnacentral:rRNA from 1 species